GACCCGAGGGGGGCCCCCACGCCCGCUCUGGCCUCUCAGGUCAGGCCCUCCCCUCCCCUCCCCUCCCCUCCCCCGCCCCUGUGUCUCCGCGAGCCGGCUGUGUGCCUGCGAGAGCGUGCACACCCGCGGGACCUUCCCUUUUGUUCCACCCUGACCUCUACCUUCUCUACCUUGUGCUGACCCCGCUGGGGUGCAGGGGUUCCCUUCGGAGGAGGCCGGGGCUCAAGGCUGAGGCACCUAGGGAGUUGCCCCCCUAGUGGACGGCCUCUCAGGAGAUCCUGACCACCCUCUGGGAACCUGGACUCCUCCAAGCAUCGUCUUUCUCGCCUGCAUCUUCGGAGAGAGGUGCUGAGCCCUUCCUCAUGGAUACGGGGUCCCGGGAGGCAGCCUUCACCAGGGACCUGCCCAGGAAACCAGCAGAUGCCCAGCUGUAGCUGUGCAUUGAUGGCGCCGUGCGGCCCGGCCGCAGGUCCCGCAGCCGUGGAGAGGACCCAGCAGGUGGCGCGGGGAGAGCCCGGCUCGGCACGUGGUCAGCUCCAAGUCAGCCCUGAAAUGUCCAUUACUCACAAAGAAAAGGAAAAUGCUCAUUUGAAAGAAAUUCUUCUCUUUGUCAAUGCUGAGGCAUUCUCUCAGCCCCAGCCCCACAGUGCUCCAGUGUGUGAAGGGCAACAGCUGACGGGGAAGUUCAGCACAUCUGUGCUGACCAGGGCUGGAGGCGAUGCCAGUCCGUGCAGCUGGGAACGCCUCCUCUGCUAUGGCUGGAGCCACUGCUGAAGGGACUCCACCUGGCACCUAUGCCACCAAUGGCCCCUGAACGGGUAUCUAGGCCCACCCUUAAUAAAGAUGAGCUGCUCAUUCCCA
rnacentral:lncRNA from 1 species